UAAUACGGAGGGUGCAAGCGUUAUCCGGAUUCACUGGGUUUAAAGGGUGCGUAGGUGGAUCGGUAAGUCCGCGGUGAAAUCCCCGAGCUUAACUCGGGAACUGCCAUGGAUACUAUCGAUCUUGAAUACUGUGGAGGUAAGCGGAAUAUGUCAUGUAGCGGUGAAAUGCUUAGAUAUGACAUAGAACACCGAUAGCGAAGGCAGCUUGCUACACAGUCAUUGACACUGAGGCACGAAAGCGUGGGGAGCAAACAGGAUUAGAUACCCUGGUAGUCCACGCCCUAAACGAUGAUUACUCGACAUACGCGAUACACUGUGUGUGUCUGAGCGAAAGCAUUAAGUAAUCCACCUGGGAAGUACGACCGCAAGGUUG
rnacentral:rRNA from 1 species